rnacentral:rRNA from 1 species
UACGAAGGGGGCUAGCGUUGCUCGGAAUCACUGGGCGUAAAGGGCGCGUAGGCGGCCAUUCAAGUCGGGGGUGAAAGCCUGUGGCUCAACCACAGAAUUGCCUUCGAUACUGUUUGGCUUGAGUAUGGCAGAGGUUGGUGGAACUGCGAGUGUAGAGGUGAAAUUCGUAGAUAUUCGCAAGAACACCAGUGGCGAAGGCGGCCAACUGGGCCAUGACUGACGCUGAGGCCCGAAAGCGUGGGGAGCAAACAGG